rnacentral:rRNA from 1 species
GGUUAAGCGACUAAGCGUACACGGUGGAUGCCCUGGCAGUCAGAGGCGAUGAAGGGCGUGCUAAUCUGCGAUAAGCGCCGGUAAGGUGAUAUGAACCGUUAUAACCGGCGAUACCCGAAUGGGGAAACCCAGUGUGACUCGUCACACUAUCAUUAACUGAAUCCAUAGGUUAAUGAGGCGAACCGGGGGAACUGAAACAUCUAAGUACCCCGAGGAAAAGAAAUCAACCGAGAUUCCCCCAGUAGCGGCGAGCGAACGGGGAGGAGCCCAGAGCCUGAAUCAGCAUGUGUGUUAGUGGAAGCGUCUGGAAAGGCGCGCGAUACAGGGUGACAGCCCCGUACACAAAAGCGCAUGUGCUGUGAGCUCGAUGAGUAGGGCGGGACACGUGGUAUCCUGUCUGAAUAUGGGGGGACCAUCCUCCAAGGCUAAAUACUCCUGACUGACCGAUAGUGAACCAGUACCGUGAGGGAAAGGCGAAAAGAACCCCGGCGAGGGGAGUGAAAAAGAACCUGAAACCGUGUACGUACAAGCAGUGGGAGCACCCUUCGGGGUGUGACUGCGUACCUUUUGUAUAAUGGGUCAGCGACUUAUAUUCUGUAGCAAGGUUAACCGAAUAGGGGAGCCGUAGGGAAACCGAGUCUUAACCGGGCGUUAAGUUGCAGGGUAUAGACCCGAAACCCGGUGAUCUAGCCAUGGGCAGGUUGAAGGUUGGGUAACACUAACUGGAGGACCGAACCGACUAAUGUUGAAAAAUUAGCGGAUGACCUGUGGCUGGGGGUGAAAGGCCAAUCAAACCGGGAGAUAGCUGGUUCUCCCCGAAAGCUAUUUAGGUAGCGCCUCGUGAAUUCAUCUCCGGGGGUAGAGCACUGUUUCGGCUAGGGGGCCAUCCCGGCUUACCAACCCGAUGCAAACUGCGAAUACCGGAGAAUGUUAUCACGGGAGACACACGGCGGGUGCUAACGUCCGUCGUGAAGAGGGAAACAACCCAGACCGCCAGCUAAGGUCCCAAAGUCAUGGUUAAGUGGGAAACGAUGUGGGAAGGCCCAGACAGCCAGGAUGUUGGCUUAGAAGCAGCCAUCAUUUAAAGAAAGCGUAAUAGCUCACUGGUCGAGUCGGCCUGCGCGGAAGAUGUAACGGGGCUAAACCAUGCACCGAAGCUGCGGCAGCGAACGUAUCACCCAAGACAACUUUACGGAGUUGACGAUUGACGGAGCGAAGCGACGUCAAAGCGUUCAUUAAAGUCGAGUUGGCUUAGGGAUACGUUCGUUGGGUAGGGGAGCGUUCUGUAAGCCUGUGAAGGUGGCCUGUGAGGGUUGCUGGAGGUAUCAGAAGUGCGAAUGCUGACAUAAGUAACGAUAAAGCGGGUGAAAAGCCCGCUCGCCGGAAGACCAAGGGUUCCUGUCCAACGUUAAUCGGGGCAGGGUGAGUCGACCCCUAAGGCGAGGCCGAAAGGCGUAGUCGAUGGGAAACGGGUUAAUAUUCCCGUACUUGGUGUUACUGCGAAGGGGGGACGGAGAAGGCUAUGUUGGCCGGGCGACGGUUGUCCCGGUUUAAGCGUGUAGGCUGGUUUUCCAGGCAAAUCCGGAAAAUCAAGGCUGAGGCGUGACGACGAGGCACUACGGUGCUGAAGCAACAAAUGCCCUGCUUCCAGGAAAAGCCUCUAAGCAUCAGGUAACAUCAAAUCGUACCCCAAACCGACACAGGUGGUCAGGUAGAGAAUACCAAGGCGCUUGAGAGAACUCGGGUGAAGGAACUAGGCAAAAUGGUGCCGUAACUUCGGGAGAAGGCACGCUGACACGUAGGUGAAGUGAUUUACUCAUGGAGCUGAAGUCAGUCGAAGAUACCAGCUGGCUGCAACUGUUUAUUAAAAACACAGCACUGUGCAAACACGAAAGUGGACGUAUACGGUGUGACGCCUGCCCGGUGCCGGAAGGUUAAUUGAUGGGGUCAGCGCAAGCGAAGCUCCUGAUCGAAGCCCCGGUAAACGGCGGCCGUAACUAUAACGGUCCUAAGGUAGCGAAAUUCCUUGUCGGGUAAGUUCCGACCUGCACGAAUGGCGUAAUGAUGGCCAGGCUGUCUCCACCCGAGACUCAGUGAAAUUGAACUCGCUGUGAAGAUGCAGUGUACCCGCGGCAAGACGGAAAGACCCCGUGAACCUUUACUAUAGCUUGACACUGAACAUUGAGCCUUGAUGUGUAGGAUAGGUGGGAGGCUUUGAAGCGUGGACGCCAGUCUGCGUGGAGCCGACCUUGAAAUACCACCCUUUAAUGUUUGAUGUUCUAACGUGGACCCGUAAUCCGGGUUGCGGACAGUGUCUGGUGGGUAGUUUGACUGGGGCGGUCUCCUCCUAAAGAGUAACGGAGGAGCACGAAGGUUGGCUAAUCCUGGUCGGACAUCAGGAGGUUAGUGCAAUGGCAUAAGCCAGCUUGACUGCGAGCGUGACGGCGCGAGCAGGUGCGAAAGCAGGUCAUAGUGAUCCGGUGGUUCUGAAUGGAAGGGCCAUCGCUCAACGGAUAAAAGGUACUCCGGGGAUAACAGGCUGAUACCGCCCAAGAGUUCAUAUCGACGGCGGUGUUUGGCACCUCGAUGUCGGCUCAUCACAUCCUGGGGCUGAAGUAGGUCCCAAGGGUAUGGCUGUUCGCCAUUUAAAGUGGUACGCGAGCUGGGUUUAGAACGUCGUGAGACAGUUCGGUCCCUAUCUGCCGUGGGCGCUGGAGAACUGAGGGGGGCUGCUCCUAGUACGAGAGGACCGGAGUGGACGCAUCACUGGUGUUCGGGUUGUCAUGCCAAUGGCACUGCCCGGUAGCUAAAUGCGGAAGAGAUAAGUGCUGAAAGCAUCUAAGCACGAAACUUGCCCCGAGAUGAGUUCUCCCUGAGACUUUAGGUCUCCUGAAGGAACGUUGAAGACGACGACGUUGAUAGGCCGGGUGUGUAAGCGCAGCGAUGCGUUGAGCUAACCGGUACUAAUGAACCGUGAGGCUUAACCUU